UAAACCUAGUAGUCCAGUGAAGUCUGGAU
rnacentral:sRNA from 1 species